GGGAACUGCGGAGGACAUUAUCGAGUUAUUGACGGGGUUGUAGCUGGCCUUUUGAGGCAUGUGCACGCCCUGUUCAUCCACUCUACACCUGUGCAUUUACUGUGGGUUUCAGAUGGGCGAAGUGGGCUUUUCCGAAGGCCUGUGGAGUCUCUUUGUGCCUGCGUUUAUAACAUAAACUCUAUUGUAUCAGAAUGUGUAUAUUGCGAUGUAACGCAUCUAUGUACAACUUUCAGCAACGGAUCUCUUGGCUCUCGCAUCGAUGAAGAACGCAGCGAAAUGCGAUAAGUAAUGUGAAUUGCAGAAUUCAGUGAAUCAUCGAAUCUUUGAACGCACCUUGCGCUCCUUGGUAUUCCGAGGAGCAUGCCUGUUUGAGUGUCAUGGAAUCUUCAACCUACAAACCUUUGCGGGUUUUUAUUGUAGGCUUGGACCUUGGAGACUUUGCCGGUCUGUGUUGAUGAGUCGGCUUCUCUUAAAUGCAUUAGCUUAUGUCCUUGCGGAUCGGCUCCCGGUGUGAUAACUGUCUACGCCGUGGCCGUGAAGCACUUGAUGAGCUUCUAACGGUCUUGAAUGAGACAUUAUUGACAUCUGACCUCAAAUCAGGUAGGACUACCCGCUGAACUUAAGCAUAUCAAUAAGCGGAGGAA
rnacentral:rRNA from 1 species